UACGUAGGCAGCAAGCGUUGUUCGGAGUUACUGGGCGUAAAGGGUGUGUAGGCGGUCUUUUAAGUUUGGUGUGAAAUCUCCCGGCUCAACCGGGAGGGUGCGCCGGAAUACUGAGGGACUCGAGUGCGGGAGAGGAAAGUGGAAUUCCUGGUGUAGCGGUGAAAUGCGUAGAUAUCAGGAGGAACACCGGUGGUGUAGACGGCUUUCUGGACCGUAACUGACGCUGAGACACGAAAGCGUGGGUAGCAAACAGG
rnacentral:rRNA from 1 species